rnacentral:rRNA from 1 species
UACGAAGGGGGCUAGCGUUGCUCGGAAUUACUGGGCGUAAAGGGCGCGUAGGCGGACAGUUUAGUCAUAGGUGAAAGCCCAGGGCUCAACCUUGGAAUUGCCUUUGAUACUGGCUGUCUUGAGUUCGGGAGAGGUGAGUGGAAUGCCGAGUGUAGAGGUGAAAUUCGUAGAUAUUCGGCGGAACACCAGUGGCGAAGGCGACUCACUGGCCCGAUACUGACGCUGAGGCGCGAAAGCGUGGGGAGCAAACAGG